GACCGUAAGGACAUGUGGACAGUAUGGGAGUGAGAAUGUUGGCAUGAGUAGCGAGAUGUGGGUGAGAAUCCCACAGGCCGUAAACCCAAGGUUUCCAGGGGAAGGUUCGUCCGCCCUGGGUUAGUCGGGACCUAAGCUGAGGCCGAAAGGCGUAGGUGAUGGACAACAGGUUGAUAUUCCUGUACUACCGAUAACCGUUUGAGGGAAGGGAUGACACAGUAGGAUAAGCUAAGCACACUGUUGGUUAUGUGUGCCCAAGCAUUGAGGCAGUCAAAGUAGGCAAAUCCGCUUUGAUAAUGCUGGGAUGUGAUGGGGAGCGAAAUUUAGUAGCGAA
rnacentral:rRNA from 1 species